CAGUUCGGAUUGUAGUCUGCAACUCGACUACAUGAAGCUGGAAUCGCUAGUAAUCGCGAAUCAGAAUGUCGCGGUGAAUACGUUCCCGGGUCUUGUACACACCGCCCGUCACACCAUGGGAGUCAGUAACGCCCGAAGCCGGUGACCCAACCAAACGGAGGGAGCCGUCGAAGGUGGGACCGAUAACUGGGGUGAAGUCGUAACAAGGUAGC
rnacentral:rRNA from 1 species